AUCCUUGCGGAAGGGGCAAUAGCGCUAUCAGUGACGCUUUGCGGAGGUGCGCUGUUUGCUAGUUGGAAACUACUCCAAUUCCCGUCAAGUUUGAUCGUCAAGGUCAUUCUUGCAAUUUUUACGUAGGGCCCGAGUCGCCC
rfam:Symbiodinium microadriaticum strain CCMP2467 Smic.scaffold964, whole genome shotgun sequence.